AUGCAGCGGUAAAGCGGGCGUUUUCUAUUGUAAAUAUUUUGAAGGACAAACUUCGAAAUAGACUUAAUAUAGAAACUGUCAACGCUCUUAUGGGAAUCAGGUUUUUAAUAAAGCCAAGCACUUGCGCCAACUUUGAGCCAAAUUUAGGGAUCUCAGUCGACAUCUAGGGAUAAAUAAGAUUCGAGUUGGGGAUAAACCGUUCCACCCAUCUGGCGACACUGCGACUCAGGUUUUACAUCCCGGCUUUGGUGGUUUGAAUGUCAUGUGACGGACAGUUUGUAGACGACACUUCACGUUUCUCUGGAUGAUAAAAAACAGGGUCUAAAUGAU